rnacentral:rRNA from 1 species
AGAGUUUGAUCCUGGCUCAGGAUAAACACUGGCGGCGCACAUAAGACAUGCAAGUCGAACGGAAGUCGUUACGAAACGGAUUGAAGAUUUAUCAGAUUGAAGUUUUGUAACAAUGGCUUUAGUGGCGGACUGGUGAGUAACACGUAAGCAACCUGCCUAUUAGAGGGAAAUAACAAUGAGAAAUCAUUGCUAAUACCGCAUAAGCUUGUAGCAACGCAUGUUGUAGCAAGAAAAGGAGAAAUCCGCUAAUAGAUGGGCUUGCGGCUGAUUAGCUAGUUGGUAGGGUAAAGGCUUACCAAGGCAACGAUCGGUAGCCGGGCUGAGAGGCUCUGCGGCCACAUUGGGACUGAGAUACGGCCCAGACUCCUACGGGAGGCAGCAGUCGGGAAUAUUGCGCAAUGGAGGAAACUCUGACGCAGUGACGCCGCGCAUAGGAAGAAGGUUUUAGGAUUGUAAACUAUUUUAGACAGGGAAGAAUAAAUGACAGUACCUGUAGAAUAAGCUCCGGCUAACUACGUGCCAGCAGCCGCGGUAAUACGUAGGGAGCAAGCGUUAUCCGGAAUUAUUGGGUGUAAAGGGUGCGUAGACGGGAAUACAAGUUGGUUGUGAAAUCCCUCGGCUCAACCGAGGAACUGCAACCAAAACUAUAUUUCUUGAGUGCAGGAGAGGAAAGCGGAAUUCCUAGUGUAGCGGUGAAAUGCGUAGAUAUUAGGAGGAACACCAGUGGCGAAGGCGGCUUUCUGGACUGUAACUGACGUUGAGGCACGAAAGUGUGGGGAGCAAACAGGAUUAGAUACCCU